AACGAACGCUGGCGGCAUGCCUAACACAUGCAAGUCGAACGAGACCUUCGGGUCUAGUGGCGCACGGGUGAGUAACGCGUGGGAACCUGCCCUUAGGUUCGGAAUAACUCCCCGAAAGGGGUGCUAAUACCGGAUAAUGUCUUCGGACCAAAGAUUUAUCGCCUUUGGUUGGGCCCGCGUUGGAUUAGCUAGUUGGUAGGGUAAAAGCCUACCAAGGCGACGAUCCAUAGCUGGUCUGAGAGGAUGAUCAGCCACACUGGGACUGAGACACGGCCCAGACUCUUGCGGGAGGCGGCAGUGGCGAAGAUUGGACUAUGGGCGAAAGCCUGAUCCAGCAAUGCCGCGUGAGUGAUGAAGGCCUUAGGGUUGUAAAGCUCUUUUACCCAUGAUGAUAAUGACAGUACCGGGAGAAUAAGCCCCGGCUAACUCCGUG
rnacentral:rRNA from 1 species